rnacentral:lncRNA from 1 species
CCCCGAGCUUGGAGGCUGCACUGAGACCUUGUUCUGUAUGAUCGUUUACCCCGUUUGCCGGCUCACUUGAUUAAUCACACCUCUCUAUAUAAAGGAGAAUGUCAGAGCACCAGGGAGUCGAGAAUCGGGUUCUUGUCCUCGUUAGUGUUUGAGAGGGAAGAGGGUAUGAGCUGAGAGGGGACAUACUUCAUUUUCCUCAGAUCUAGGAGGUAGAUUAUUAGAGAGUAAACGCAGGGGCUGGACGCUUUGACCAUGGCAUAGAAGCACUGACCCCUGUGUAACGUUUUCAUGAAGAAAAACAGAAUUUUUUUUUUUUAAAGCAACCGGCCACGGUCACAGUGACAGAGGGGGCAGCGAAGAGGAGCCAAGUAGCUUUCAGAGUGUCGGGCGGCUGUUAUUCUCUCUGCUGCUCUUCUGUACCUACCGGCUCAGUAUUGCCCAGAGGUUUGGGCAAUGUGAUCCUCUGGUCACAAGGAGCCCUUUGUCACCCCUCCAAGUGACCAGUAAUGUGAUCCUCUACCGGCGCUGGUGGCUUUCUCUUUCUCCUUACCGGAAAAGACUGAGUUGCUGAGAAGAGGAACAAGUGUGAGCUGUUGUUUAAUGAACUGGAGGCCUUGAGUGAUAGCCAGGAUCUGUCCUUGUUUGAUUCCUCUAAGCCCUCAGCUUCUCCUCAAAGCCUGAGGAGAAAGCAGGCUAGUUUCAAUGUCUGUCUUUGAGAGACUGGACAAUCUGUAUGUCCUGCUUUCUUUAUGUGAUUUCUAUAAGAACAAACAGGAACAGGUCUGAGCACAGUACAGGAAGGCCAGGAAGAGAGUUUCUGGAACCUUCUGUCUCAGUGAGCCAGCAUUUCAACUCAGCACUUUGUGUUUCCCCAGGGCCAGGGUCUCCCUUGAGCUCAGAGUUAGUUCUCUCAGGCUCUUGCUCCUGCGGAGGAACUGAGGCUGGGCACAGCAGGGUUUGUUAUAACUGGGUGUCAGGUAAAGAUUCCUCAGGGCAGGAUGCUGUGUGUACACAGUCAAUAAUCAGAACACAGGCGGUCUGUCCUUAAAAAUGUCACUGGCCGAGAAUCUUUGGCUUCCCUAACCUACUCUCUGUGUAGACCAGGCUGGCCUUGAACUUACGGAGUUUACCUGCAUCUGCUUCCUGAGUGCUGGAGCUAAAAGCAUGAACUAUCAAGACGAGCAAAGGCUGAGUUAAUCAAGAUCCUGUCUUAGUACCAGGUUCUUACUCUGGUUAAUCAUUCAUUCACUGUAGAAAGGAAAGGAAGAGUCAACAGUUACAAAAGCACAGUAUAGGCAUUUCUCUGUUUACUUUUCUCUGACACCGAAGUGUGGGGACUUGCCUUUUCACCCUGUUGUUCAGCAGGGAGACCCUGGUACAGUUCAUUAAUCGCCACACCAUGUUAGUUACUCCUUACAGAAAGAUUCAUGGAGAUUCACUCUUGGGAACCAAGGUCUUGGACAUAGCUGGUGACCUGUCAAUCACGAUCUCACACCUAUCCUGCAUAAUAAGGCAUAUACAUGUACAUACAGACACUCAUAAAUCUACACACACACACACACACACACACACACACACACACACUUGAGGUCACCGAGCCUACAGAGUCUUGUACUCACUACUGUGCUAGGAUAAUGAAAUCAUCUGCUACUUUCUUUGUGACUGAAAAAAAGAGCCCCAGUAUUUCUGUCAGGGGUAGUGUAGGUGUCUUAGCUUCAAGCGCAGCACUUGGCUUCUCAUGGGCCUUGUUCCUAUCUGUGACUCCAACUCACACAGGAAAGGCUUGUCGGCUGCAGCACAGAGGACUCUGACUGAAAGGGCUUUCCUGGUCUCCUGCUCCCACAGGGACAGAGAUAGGGCUUCAUACGGCUCCUCUCCUCCUCCUCCUCUCACAAAGCACCCACAGAGGCGACUUAUCUCCUCCAGCUGUCACAGAGACACACCUCAGUUCUUCAGUAUCUGGAAUUGCACUUUGACUCGUACAAGGAAACCAAGUAGCUGACAGUUGGGGCUCGGCAAGGAUUUUAUCCUUUCUGCAGCUGCCCUCUCCAGGCUGUGGCCUGCUAUUGGAUCCUGGACAUGGGAAGUCUUUGCUGCAAAAUAUAUGAGGUAUCUCAGCACUCUGACCUCACUCGGAGGAGGUGGUUUCUCUCAGUACUUCAUGGCAUAAUUCGAUUGAGGUGAAGCAGUCUUUCUUUAUCUUCUUUUAAAAAUCACGUGUGUGUGCAUGUGUGUGCAUGCGUGUGCAUGAGUGUGCACAUCUUCACAGAUUAUUUUGCAUAUGCAGACUAAUUGCCUCUCCUUUCUCUGAAGGCAUAGAAAGUGGGAUAUUUUCUCAUGUAAUAUUUUGGUUUUCUAAUAUUGGACUCACUCUGCCCUGGCUCACAUAUUUCAGAUUAAAAACAUUUCUCUCUCAAGGAGCAUUAAUCUUCUCUAGGGAUGAGACUCCUGAUGGAUUAUGGGUUAUUAUGUAGUCUCAAGUGAAAAUGAUCAACCCUAAACACUUACUCCUACAAGGAGCACUAAAUGGACUCACAGGGUUUUGAGGGUGUGUGUGUGUAACAAUACAAAUUAAAGAAGAAGAGGAAUUUGAGCAGAAGUGGAGGAUGUGGGAGAGAUUGGAGGGAGAAAGGCAGGUAAGGAAAUGGUGUGAAUGGAGACUCAUGUAUGGAAGUCUCAAAAAAUUUGACAAAAGAAUACAUGUGGAAAAAAAACUCUUUCCUAAGCAGCCGCUAGGUGUCACCCUGGUUCCCUUUUCCAUUUCCUCUCGCACUACUAGAGCUGCGUAGAUAGAGAUGGUGAUAGAGAAGGCUUCAGUCGUGUGUCUUUUCUGGAGAGUCAUCUCUUCACCCCAGAUAGAGCAAAGACAUUUCCUCCAAGUCUGCCUUAGUCAACCAAUAAACAGUUUGGGGUUCUUUGUAGAAGCUUGGGUGAUUGAGGGCAGUGACCUCACUGAUAAGCCCACCCCAACCUCACCAGGACUCAGGAACACAGCAUCCUUGGAAGCUCCUGCACUGGUUGCAGCAGGCACUCCAGAAGGAUGGCUCCUCUCUCCCAGCAAGGGUUUACUGCUUGUCUAAGCGUGGGGAAGGGAGUUGUGAGUCUGAGCCUUUGAGCUCAAGGUUCUUGAAGUUUCCUUAGGUUCUUGGGUUUUAUAAGCCUCCGUCCUGAAGUGAAGGUACACCAUCUUAAGCUGUUCUCUGUCUCUUUCUGUCUCUGUGUCUCUACCUCUCUCUGUCUCUUGUCAGCCAUGAGCUGAACAGUCUCCUAAACCACAUGCCCCCAAAUCCACGAAGCUCUCCCUAAAAGCACGAGCCAAGUGGCCAAGGACUGAACCAACUCUAGCCUUUUCAAACCAUGAGUCAAAAAUAAUUCUUUCUUCCUUAAGUUGUUUCUUUCAGGUAUUGUAACCAGCACAAGUUUUACCAUGGCUUUGUCAUUUUCUCUUAUCAAGUCAGGACUUCUGAACUAAUUAUGGUGACCAAAUACAAUCUGGUCACUCAAAAAUGGUCACUCUUUGAUUGAAAACAAUCUAUUCCCUUUUAAAAAAGAUUUAUUUAUUUUAUGUAUUAGUACACUGUAGCUGUCUUCAGACCAAAAGAGGGCCUGGGACCCCAUUACAGAUGGUUGUGAGCCACCAUGUGGUUGCUGGGAUUUGAACUCAGGACCUCUGGAGGAGCAGUCAGUGCUCUUAACCACUGAGCCAUCUCUCCAGCCCUGAAAGAGAAUCUGUUCCUGGUACUGGAGGCUUCAUUUGGUGACGUGAGAGAUCUAGUUAGGGUUCUGCCUCCCCCAUUAUAUGGCUAUUUCAUUUAGAUCACCUUCAUGUGUGUGUGUGUGUGUGUGUGUGUGUGUGUGUGUGUGUGUAUUUUAGGAAGCAUCUACUGGACUAGGUUUCCAUACUACCCCUCAAAUGACCCUUGGUUUUGAUUGUCUCUCCCAGUAUUCCUUCCUUGUUUCUCUCUUCCCUCUUCUUCUCCACUUUAUUCUCCAAUUCCAAUCCAAAAAAUAUUUUAAGUUGAUUUAUUAUUUCACAUACAUAUAUACACAUUUAUUCAUAUUCAUGCAUACACACACAUGUGUACGUACACACACACACACACACACACACACACACACACACACACACACACAAUGUAUUGUAAUCAUAUUCCCCCAUUUUCCUUUCUUAUCCCCUUUCCUUUCCCAGUAAACUCCUUCUUUUAUGUAAGUCCCCCUUCUACUUUCAUGGUUUUUAUUUGUGGUUCACUCCAUUUUUAAAAAGGCUGUUUGCAUAGGUGGAAGCUGCUUGUUUGAGCAAGAACAGCAUACCAGGGGUUACACCCCCGAGGACAUGACUUCUCCUCCUCCAGCAACUAUGACACUGCUGCAGCUCCUGAGGAGGACCGGGACCUUGUAAGGGACCUGGGAUGAGGACUGGGACCUUGUAAGCCUCCCCAUCUCUGAUGGGAUGUCGAAGCUCCCAGUCUGGUGCACAUCUCGUGCAGGUAGCUAUGACUGCUGUGGGUUCUUAGUUACAAAAGCUAUGCCAUGUUCAGAAGGCAGUGUUUCAUAUCAUUCCUCCCUGUACAUAAAUGAGAAUACAGUAUGCAGAGGCCAGAAGAGGGUGAUGGAUUCUCCCAGAGCUGGAGUUACAGGCAGGUGUGAGCUGUCUGAUGUGUUAGGUACUGAACUUGUGUCCUCUGGAAGAGCAGCACUUGUUCUUAACUGCAGAGCCAUCUAUCUAGCCCUUACUGGUCAAAAUUUUAAUGAGCACUUCUCUCUUAUUAGAAAAAAAGGUAAAAUGAUUUUAUUUUAUUUAACAUGGUAGUCAAUGUGGUACAAACUAGGUUGAAAUUUAUUUUUCACUCUGUUCACAUUCUUUUAACAAGUCAUCAUGUUUGCUUCCCUCUGGGUGUAAUCUAUGAUCAAACUCACCAUUUCCAAUUAAAUCUGUGUGUCUGAGCAAUUUCUGUUUAAAGCCAAUACAGUGCCACCUGUUGACUGUCAAUUGUUCAGCACCCCAUCUAGUGUUUUCUACAAGAGAAUAGGAACAGUAGAGUUUGUGGGUUUGAAUGUUAUUUUUAAAGGUUUAUUUAUUUAUUUAUUUAUUUAUUUAUUUAUUUAAUGUAGGUGAGUACACUGUCACUGUCUUCAGACACACCAGAAGAGGGCAUCGGAUCCCCAUUACAGAUGGUUGUAAGUCACCAUAUGGUUCCUCUUAACUGCUGAGCCAUCUCUCCAGCCCGAAUGUUAGAUUUUUAUCUGUGAUCCAUAACCAAGAUCUUACACACUUGUGCCUAUCUCCAAUGACUAAUGGGCACACAACAUAUCUGAGCACCAACAAGGUCAACAUCAAUAUGCUACAGACUCUGGAGAAUUAUCUCAGAUGACACAGGUUGGAAAGUGGACACCCUAUGCAGUUUGACCUUCCUGAGACAUCCUUCAUGGAAUGUGGGCCCAACAUAGAUACUAAAUUCAGUAAGAGAGAGAAUUAACUAAACCAAUUUCGCCCAACUAAGAAGAAAACCUAAGGCUUGUAGCCUAUAGUAUUUUUAGCAAUACCAGACUGCCAUGCAUUUAACAGCGCAUAUGUCUAUGAGUUUGCUCCACCUAUUUACCCAUGCAUACCCCCUCCUUGAAGCUCUUAGAGCUCAAGGUAGGAGAUAAGAGUGGGGAGACCUUUCAAGAGCUCCACAUACUAAGGCACAACAGACGAUUUUAGGGGAAGGAGGCAGGGAGGCCCGCAUACUGAUAACUGGGGUUGCAUGACGGUGGAAGGGGAUGUGUGUUCUAGGAUGUGGAAGUGACUCGAUUCUGUGAGCAGCAUACCUUAUAGUCUUAUGAGCCAUAGCAACAACAAGAAAUCCAUUUCACACAGGAAAGAUCCAAAUGAACACACCUGGGAAAAAGAAUUCACCACUCAACCAUGCACUCUGGCCUAUUCUUCCAUGUUCCAUUGAGUUGCAUUAAAGAUAUUCUAUUCCAGAUGGAUAACUUAGGCUAUUUAUGGGCUGGAGAAAUGGCUCAAUGGUUAAGAGCACUUGCUGCUAUUCCAGAUAACCAGCGUUUAGUUCCUAGCACCUGUAUCAAGUGGGUUAUAGCUCCCUGUAACUCCAGGUCUGGGGAACUCAAAGCCCCCUGGAAUCCUCAGACACUUGCAUGUAUAUGAUGUAUACAUACAUAUACAUAAAUAAAAACAAUAAAUAAAUCUUUCAAAAGUCCCUUUAUAUUUCACCAAAUAAAAUUAGUAGCUUAUGUAAUAUAGUGACUAAUAUUCCCUGGAGCAUUUCCUGUGUGUCGUUCCAUGUAGUCAUGCCUUGCUGAUCUUGACAGAGUCCCCAUCAAAGGAACUUAGUGCUAUGGGAACCAGCCUGGUAGUUAUGAAUUUAAAAAUUUGGUGGCUUUUUGUGAACAUAGACGCUAGUAUAGACCAAAUUCUUGGUUUUAGACCCCAUUUGUCCAGCAGGAGGAAAGAAUGAGCUAAAACUAGUGUAUUGAUUUUUUUUUAAUCCAGAAAGAUUUGAUAUGCUUCCUCAUGAUCAACAAUGUCAGUGGCACACAAGGCAUGUGUUGGGAAGUUGGUAAAAAGGGA